rnacentral:rRNA from 1 species
CCCUUAGAUGUCCUGGGCUGCACGCGCGCUACACUGACACAUGCAACGAGUUUUUCCUUGCCUGAAAGGGUUGGGUAAUCUCCUUGAAAGUGUGUCGUGAUGGGGAUAGAUUAUUGCAAUUAUUAAUCUUCAACGAGGAAUUCCUAGUAAGUGCAAGUCAUCAGCUUGCGCUGAUUACGUCCCUGCCCUUUGUACACACCGCCCGUCGCACCUACCGAUUGAAUGGUUCGGUGAAGAUCUCGGACUUCGAUAUUUGUUCUUCAUUGAACUUAUAUAGUGGGAAGUUAUCUGAACCUCAUCAUUUAGAGGAAGGUGAAGUCGUAACA